rnacentral:rRNA from 1 species
AUUGAACGCUGGCGGCAUGCCUUACACAUGCAAGUCGAACGGCAGCACGGGGCAACCUGGUGGCGAGUGGCGAACGGGUGAGUAAUGCAUCGGAACGUACCUUUCAGUGGGGGAUAACGUAGCGAAAGUUACGCUAAUACCGCAUGUUCUGUGAGCAGGAAAGCAGGGGAUCGCAAGACCUUGCGCUGAUUGAGCGGCCGAUGUCAGAUUAGCUAGUUGGUGAGGUAAAGGCUCACCAAGGCGACGAUCUGUAGCGGGUCUGAGAGGAUGGUCCGCCACACUGGAAGUGAGACACGGUCCAGACUCCUACGGGAGGCAGCAGUGGGGAAUUUUGGAGAAUGGGGGCAACCCGGAUCCAGCCAUGCCGCGUGAGUGAAGAAGGCCUUCGGGUUGUAAAGCUCUUUCGGCCGGGAAGAAAUCGCACGGGCUAAUACCCUGUGUGGAUGACGGUACCGGAAUAAGAAGCACCGGCUAACUACGUGCCAGCCGCCGCGGUAAAAC